UGAAGAUCAGCUCAUCACUUCUGUCUCAUGCUAUUGGUGGACACAGCAACAAGCAUCCUCAGAUGCAAAGGGUGGAGACACAGAUGCACCCUCACUGCAAGGAAUGCCCAAGUCACUCACACAAUAAGACAGCAUUGGAGUGACAAAUAUUGUUACAGCCAUCUUUGGGAAAGACAGCCUACUGUGCCCCAAGCUAACAAUUCUUUCUUAGCCUUAUUUAUGCUUUAGUGUUCAAUACCCAGGGUGGCUCCAGCCAAGGGCAAACUGGUGGGGCAGUGUCUCCCUGACUACUGGAGAGACAGGACACAGACACACAGCUGUCUCCACCAGCACGGAGGAUAGCCUAACCAAGUCCCCCUCUCUCCAUUCCAAUUUCUCCCUGACUGUAAGGAACCUGCUAUGUCACCUUCCUGUGUAGGGAGACAGAAGAAGACUGAGCUUCAAAGGUUUGGCCAGCAGGUAUGGGGGGUUGCUGAGGAAUGGGAGCUCCGUGGUGAGAUGCCGCAGAGGCAGCACCUUCCAUCUGCAGCAGCUGACAGCAAUCCCCAGAGAGGUCAGAUUCAUGUGCCCUUGGGUGCCUGCCAGGCUCAAUGUGCCUUCCAGGAAGAGACUCUGGGAGCCAUUACCAGCUGUCAAAGGGACCCUCUGUGAGUAUGGACACCUCAGCUUCUGGGAGGGGACAGGAUGCAUUGUGUUUAGGUCACAGUUGGAUGUCCCUCUUAAGGAAAUGUCAGUUUCAGGAGUGGCAGGAGUGUUUACUGUUUGAGCUAGAUUUUUUCUUUUAUUGAUACAUAAUGUUUUACAUAUUUAUGGAGUACAUGCAAGUGUUUUUUAUAUGCAUAGAGUGUUCCAUUUGCCCCCAAGAUACACUCAGCUCUGUUUGUCCACUGCUCUGUGCUCCAGGAGGCUGGACAGUAUGGGCCACAUUAAUAGACUGUCCUUCCCCCGGAAAUACAGUUCGGUUCACACCUGCUAGAGAUCAGAGGAGGAAUGAGCAGAAGUCGGUGAUUUAUUUCUUGGCUUCAUCUCUGUGGCAUUUUCCUAAACUGGCC
rnacentral:lncRNA from 1 species